AUCUGUACUGUGAAGUCCUAAAUGUACAUUGACGUUUUCUUCUAAAGAGCGCUGCAUGAUAUCUUCAUCUUCUGCUUUAUAAAUUUGUGAUAACAUGAUGUUUUCAUCAGAAUUCUUACUGGGAUUUUCUUGUGUUAUUAGAGGCCGGUGC